rnacentral:tRNA from 1 species
GGAGAGGUCGCAUAGUGGCCUAGUGCACUCGCUUGGAAAGCGGGCAUACCGCAAGGUAUCGCGGGUUCAAAUCCCGCCCUCUCCGCCA